GACGAACGAGGGAGGAGGGAGGAACAAAGACAAGUCGAACGAAAAGGCCCUGCUUUUGUGGGGUGCUCGAGUGGCGAACGGGUGAGUAACACGUGAGUAACCUGCCCUUGACUUUGGGAUAACUUCAGGAAACUGGGGCUAAUACCGGAUAGGAGCUCCUGCUGCAUGGUGGGGGUUGGAAAGUUUCGGCGGUUGGGGAUGGACUCGCGGCUUAUCGGCUUGUUGGUGGGGUAGUGGCUUACCAAGGCUUUGACGGACAGCCGGCCUGAGAGGGUGACCGGCCACAUUGGGACUGAGAUACGGCCCAGACUCCUACGGGAGGCAGCAGUGGGGAAUAUUGCACAAUGGGCGGAAGCCUGAUGCAGCAACGCCGCGUGCGGGAUGCCGGCCUUCGGGUUGUAAACCGCUUUCGCCUGUGACGAAGCGUGAGUGACGGUAAUGGGUAAAGAAGCAACGGCUAACUACGUG
rnacentral:rRNA from 1 species